rnacentral:rRNA from 1 species
GACGAACGCUGGCGGCGUGCCUAAUACAUGCAAGUAGAACGCUGAAGGUGGAGCUUGCUCUUCUGGAUGAGUUGCGAACGGGUGAGUAACGCGUAGGUAACCUGCCUGGUAGCGGGGGAUAACUAUUGGAAACGAUAGCUAAUACCGCAUAACAGUAGAUGUUGCAUGACAUUUGCUUAAAAGGUGCAAUUGCAUCACUACCAGAUGGACCUGCGUUGUAUUAGCUAGUUGGUGGGGUAACGGCUCACCAAGGCGACGAUACAUAGCCGACCUGAGAGGGGGGGCGGCCGCCCUGGGAGGGUGACCCGGCCCAGUCGCCUUGAGGAGGCAGCCGUAGGGAUUCUUCGGCCAGGGGUGGAAGUCUGACCGCGCAACGCCGCGGGCGUGUAGAAGGUUUUCGGAUCGUAAAGCUCGGUUGUCAGGUAAUAACGAGUGUUCGACUGGAAAGUUCACUCUGUGACGGUAACUUAUCAGAAAGCGCCGGCUAACUACGUG